rnacentral:rRNA from 1 species
AUUGAACGCUGGCGGCAGGCCUAACACAUGCAAGUCGAGCGGUAGAGAGAAGCUUGCUUCUCUUGAGAGCGGCGGACGGGUGAGUAAUGCCUAGGAAUCUGCCUGGUAGUGGGGGAUAACGCUCGGAAACGGACGCUAAUACCGCAUNCGUCCUACGGGAGAAAGCAGGGGACCUUCGGGCCUUGCGCUAUCAGAUGAGCCUAGGUCGGAUUAGCUAGUUGGUGAGGUAAUGGCUCACCAAGGCGACGAUCCGUAACUGGUCUGAGAGGAUGAUCAGUCACACUGGAACUGAGACACGGUCCAGACUCCUACGGGAGGCAGCAGUGGGGAAUAUUGGACAAUGGGCGAAAGCCUGAUCCAGCCAUGCCGCGUGUGUGAAGAAGGUCUUCGGAUUGUAAAGCACUUUAAGUUGGGAGGAAGGGCAGUAAAUUAAUACUUUGCUGUUUUGACGUUACCGACAGAAUAAGCACCGGC